CCAGACGGCCGGGCGGUCGCUCCUGUCCUUCGGGGCAGGGGAGGAAAGUCCGGGCUCCACUACGACAUGGCGGCGGGUAACGCCCGCCGGGGGCGACCCCAGGGAUAGCGCCACAGAGAGCAGACCGCCCCGGUCGCGGCCGGGGCAAGGGUGAAAGGGUGCGGUAAGAGCGCACCGCGGACCCAGCAAUGGGGACGGCAUGGCAAGCCCCGCCAGGAGCAAGACCGAAUAGGGACCCCGCGCCGGAGCGAUCCGGCAGGGCUGUCGCAGGCCCAGGGGUCCGGGUAGGUCGCGAGAACCGUCCAGCAAUGGGCGGUCCAGAGGAAUGAUCGCCGCGCCCGUUUCGGCGGGCGGCACAGAACCCGGCUUACAGGCCGUCUGGUUUC
rnacentral:RNase_P_RNA from 1 species